CCUACGGGUGGCAGCAGUGGGGGAUAUUGCACAAUGGGGGAAACCCUGAUGCAGCGACGCCGCGUGAGUGAAGAAGUAAUUCGUUAUGUAAAGCUCUAUCAGCAGGGAAGGAAAUGACGGUACCUGAGUAAGAAGCCCCGGCUAACUACGUACCCACAGCCGCGGUAAUACGUAGGGGGCAAGCGGUAGCCGGAUUUACUGGGUGGAAAGGGAGCGUAGACGGCGGUGCAAGUCUGGAGUGAAAGGCUGGGGCUCAACCCCCGGACUGCUCUGGAAACUGUACGGCUGGAGUGCAGGAGAGGUAAGUGGAAUUCCUAGUGUAGCGGUGAAAUGCGUAGAUAUUAGGAGGAACACCAGUGGCGAAGGCGGCCUACUGGACUGUAACUGACGUUGAGGCUCGAAAGCGUGGGGAGCAAACAGGAUUAGAUACCCUUGUAGUC
rnacentral:rRNA from 1 species